UUUCUACUUCAGUCCCACGGUGCUUUAAAAGGUAUUUAGAAGAUCUUUGGGUGAUAUUUUGGAGCUUGCAAGUUAUCCAAGGAUGCUGAGGUGACAGUGUCUUUCAACGCAUACCUUCUCUAUCAUAGCAUAGCAUAGCAAUAGUAUUUACAGUCAACCUUGAGCCUAGUGAGAUUUGAUCUGCCAAAUUGCAGGCAGCUGACAGUCAGCAGAAGUAGCUUGCAGUACUGCAUUCUAAUUAUAGCGUUCCUGAUCUGAAAGUAGUGGGAAUACUCUCAUAUAUUUUCCUUUGCAAUUUAGUUGGAACAUGGGACAAAAGGGACUGCCUGCUGUCAGAAUUCAGACCGAGGAAGUGAAGUUCAAGUCCACUCUUACCUAUGGAAAUUUUCUGGGUGUGGAUAGCUGAGCCAUUCAUUGCUUUUAGCAAAAACCAAUGGCACAGGGGGAUUUUACUACAGAGAAAAAUGAGAGGAGAUUCUGUAGGUAAUCAGACUUGAAAUCUUGGAAAAGAGGAUAAGUAUUUUUUGUACCUCACCUUUAUUAUUUUUACAAAUGAUUUAAGGCGGCAAACAUAUACAGCCCACUUUCCUCCUCCUAUUUUUUUUCAGAACAAUGACCCUGUGAGGUGAGUUGGGCUGAAAGAGGGUGACCGGCACAAGAUCACCCAGCUGGCUUUCAUGGUUAAUGUGGGACUUGAACUCACAGUCUCCCGUUUUCUAGCCUGGUGCCUUAAUCGCUAGACCAAAUUGGAUCUCUUUUACUUUAUUUUCUAUUUAAUAUAAUAAAAUUAUUACUCUCUUUCAUCUCAUAUCUAAAGUUAGUGUAAGACUCUUACUCUUCACUCAUGAGAAUUUCUCCAAAUAUUUCCUUUAUUUAAAAAGUAAAUCUGAAAGCAAUUUCUUUACCAUCAGAUUAAAUGAGAAUCCAGAGAACAGAAAAUCCAGAAGGAAUCUCUAGUAGUGUUAAAAAAGAAGCCCAUAAAAUGUUGUGGUACUGCUUUUAUUAUAAUAACAUACCCAACAGUAGUGGGUUGCUCCCGGUUCUGUCCGGUUCUAUAGAACCAGUAGUAAAACCAGCGGGAGGCUCCGCCCACCUGCCACAACACCAUCAUGGAUGAUCUGCACAUGCACAGAAGAAAGAGAGAGAGAGAGAGAGCGCAAUCCCGCUGCGAACAGGUAAUAAAAGUAAAUGGAGCCCACCCUUGAUACCCAACCAAGCACACAAACCUGGUCUGUAAGUACCAACAUCACCUUGAAGACAUAGACUAAGAAUGGGGUUGGGUAAAGGAUGCUUUGAGAGAAGUCUAGUCAAAAAGUAGCAAUAGCUUUUAGCUGAAACAUAAUAUGGAACACUAUAGAAAAACCAGAGGAUUAUUAAAGAACAGUGAUUUUAUGUGGACAUCCUGAAAGAACCCAUGAAUAAGACCAGACAAUUUCACAAUUGAGCAGUGCAAGUAUUUCCACCUGCAUCAUCCAUAGAAUGCCAUGAUGAGACCAACAUGAUAGGCACACAAUGAAAUCAUAUGCACCCAUGACGCAUCUGCAUUCUGAUAUCUGAUGCAAGUAUGCUAAACAGUGGCAUUUAUAUGGUCCCAUGCAUGGGCCAUCAUAUGCUUUGCCUGCAAACUAUGCUGAAAACACUUUCAACAGCUGGAAACAGACGAGCCAAACCACAGCAGCCGAAGAGACACAAGUUGUUUAUCCCACUCGUUUCUCAGUUUAUCUUGGUUUAGAAAGGUGUCUAUUACAAGUGAAAUGCUACAUGGGAGGAUAAUGCAAGAUCAAAAGGUCAAGUUCUCCUAGACUGUUGGGCAAUAUAAAACCCACACUGUAAGUUCAUUUUCAUUCCUCAAAAAUUGUUCAUUUUUAUUUUAUCUUACAUUGUGCUUGUUUGGACAUGGAUUAAUGAAAACUAUCUGGUAGAAAGAAUAACAUUAAAAAGAACAUACAGUAGGUUGAACAGGUUCUCCUUAUUCACUUAUUGCCUUAAUAUAUAGCUAAAUACCUUUAGCCAGAUAAUCAGCUGCUGCCUUCAAAUGAAUACAUUAACUAUACAAUCAGGAUUAUAAAUCAGCCAGAGUUACCCUGGGUAAAAUGGGUGGCCAAUACAUUCUACAGAUAAACAAACGAAUUUUAGCUUUCCUCAACUUUGAAGCUCCAGACUGGGCUCUUCUCUUUUCCUCUUUCUUUCUUUUUUUUCAUAUGUAUUUCUUCCUUGGGUGGAAUGCCUUUUUCAGUUGUCCCUUCUCUUUCCAGGACCCUUGUAAGCAAAGCUGCUCAGUUAGUGGCAGCCAGGGAUCAUCCUAACUCUCUGAUUCUCUGUCUUCACGAGAGUUCAAUCAAUCAGAGGUUUAAGGGCAUAGCCACACAUCCCCUGUUUUCCUUUGUCUUUAAUUUUGCUAACUUGAAGUGUGGAAACAAAGAGCAAGAAUGUGCAUGGAUACUCACAGGUCCUGCAGCAGCAAAAAAUAAAAGAAAUUAAAUUAAAAAACACCCUACUUCAUAUUAUAGGUUUUUGGAGAUGGGGAAGGAUGGAAGAGCUGUGGGAUAGUUAGAAAUACAUGAUAACUGCAUGAUGAAAGUUUCACCUUGCACCAUCUCAAACUGGUAUGAAACAUGUAGUACUUUGAGGUUUUCUGAAAUAAAUGGAUAAAUGCCUAAGAAGAGAAAACUUAUUUAGGGGUCUAUGGACUUUUUUCCACUACUAUUUGAAAUUAUCAAUCCUUGAGACAGUGUAGAACAACACAGGCUGCCCCCGUUAUUGAUCUCUGUUCUGCCUGUACCACUUUUGUUUCAUGUCACUGUCAGUCAUUUGCCUUCCCAUUAAGGCAAUAGGCCACAAAGCCUAAUAUAUUUCAUACAUUCUUGAUGGUGUAGGAAUAAGGGAGGAAAACACAAUGUUAGUAACAAUACAGCUAAGGAGAGUUUAAGUAUGCCCCACUCAUGGGCUGGGGCAUACAAGAUGGAGGCUCUACUGUAACAAGAACAUGUUGCAAGGGUAUAUUUGUGCCACAGUUAGGUACAAGUGGAAGAAAGCUCUAAAUGACUAUCGAAAGAAGAUAGUAGAUAGGGAGAUAUCUACUCCCUAUAAAAGAUAGGGAGGUUGAACAACUAGUCUUGUGGUGCAACCAGAACAAUCUUGAACUAAAUACACUCAAAACUGUAGAAAUGGUGGUGGAUUUUAGAAGAAAAUCUCCUAUACUACUACCUCUUACAAUACUAGACAACACAGUAUCAACAGUAGAGUCCUUCACAUUUCUAGGUUCUAUCAUAUCUCAAGACUUAAAAUGGACACCUAACAUCAAAAACUUCAUCAAAAAAGCUCAACAAAGAACGUUCUUUCUGCGCCAGCUCAGAAAGCUCAAACUGACCAAGGAGCUGCUGAUCCUGUUCUACAGAGGAAUUACUGAGUCUGUCAUCUGCACCUCCAUAACUGUCUGGUUUGGCUCUACAACCAAACAAGACAAACACAGACUUCAGAGGAUAAUUAGAACUGCAGAAAAAACAAUUGCUACCAACCUGCCUUCCAUUGAGGACCUGUCUACUGCAUGAGUCAAAAAGAGGACUGUGGAAAUAUCUACAGACCCCUGGACAUAAAUUGUUUCAACUUCUACCCUCAAAGUGAUGCUAUAGAGCACUGCAGACUAGAACAAGUAGAUACAAGGACAGUUUUUUUCCCGAAUGCCAUCACUCUGCUAAACAACUAAUUCUCACAACACUGUCAAAUAAUUUUCUAAGACUGUAUUACUAUUAUUCUUCUCUUCCUUACUAGUAUCUAUCUCUUCCCACUU